rnacentral:rRNA from 1 species
UACAGAGGUCCCAAGCGUUGUUCGGAUUCACUGGGCGUAAAGGGUGCGUAGGCGGUCGGGUAAGUCUGAUGUGAAAUCUCACAGCUUAACUGUGAAACUGCAUUGGAUACUAUCCGGCUAGAGGAAUGGAGGGGAGACUGGAAUACUUGGUGUAGCAGUGAAAUGCGUAGAUAUCAAGUGGAACACCAGUGGCGAAGGCGAUCAUCUGGGGUUGUUCUGACACUGAGGAGCGAAAGCUAGGGGAGCAAACGGG